rnacentral:rRNA from 1 species
CCAAUAGCGUAUAUUAAAGUUGUUGCAGUUAAAAAGCUCGUAGUUGAAUUUCGGGGUUAGUACGCUGGUCGUGCCUUCGGUAUGUACUGGUGUUACUGAUUCCUACCUUCUGAAGAACCGUCAUGUCAUUAAUUUGGUGUGGCGGGGAAUCAGGACUGUUACUUUGAAAAAAUUAGAGUGUUUAAAGCAGGCUCGCGCUUGAAUACAUUAGCAAGGAAUAAUGAAAUAGGACGUUUGAUCCUAUUUUGUUGGUUUCUAGGAUUGACGUAAUGAUUAAUAGGGAUAGUUGGGGGCAUUAGUAUUCAAUUGUCAGAGGUGAAAUUCUUGGAUUUAUUGAAGACUAACUACUGCGAAAGCAUUUGCCAAGGAUGUUUUCAUUAAUCAAGAACGAAAGUUAGGGGAUCGAAGACGAUCAGAUACCGUCGUAGUCUUAACCAUAAACUAUGCCGACUAGGGAUCGGAUGAUGUUAAUUUUUUAAUGACUCAUUCGGCGCCUUACG